UGGGGAAUAUUGGACAAUGGGGGCAACCCUGAUCCAGCGACGCCGCGUGUGUGAAGAAGGCCUGCGGGUUGUAAAGCACUUUUAGUGGGGAGGAAAUGCUCAGACCUAACACGUCUGGGAACUGACUUAACCCAAAGAAAAAGCACCGGCUAACUCUGUGCCAGCAGCCGCGGUAAUACAGAGGGUGCAAGCGUUAAUCGGAAUUACUGGGCGUAAAGCGUGCGCAGACGGUUAUCUAAGUCGAGUGUGAAAGCCCCGGGCUCAACCUGGGAAUUGCAUUCGAAACUGAAUAGCUAGGGUGCGGAAGAGGGAAGUGGAAUUUCCGGUGUAGCGGUGAAAUGCGUAGAUAUCGGAAGGAACAUCAGUGGCGAAAGCGACUUCCUGGUCCAGCACCGACGUUCAGGCACGAAAGCGUGGGGAGCAAACAGG
rnacentral:rRNA from 1 species